GCCCCGGCUAACUCUGUGCCAGCAGCCGCGGUAAUACAGAGGGGGCAAGCGUUAUUCGGAAUUAUUGGGCGUAAAGGGCGCGUAGGCGGCUUCGCAAGUGGAAGGUGAAAUCCCUCGGCUUAACCGAGGAACUGCCCUCCAAACUGCGUUGCUUGAGGCCGGGAGAGGUGAGUGGAAUUCCCAGUGUAGCGGUGAAAUGCGUAGAUAUUGGGAGGAACACCAGUGGCGAAGGCGGCUCACUGGACCGGUUCUGACGCUGAGGCGCGAAAGCGUGGGGAGCAAACGGGAUUAGAUACCCCGGUAGUCCACGCCGUAAACGAUGAGUGCUUGGUGUAGCGGGUAUCGACCCCUGCUGUGCCGAAGUCAACACAUUAAGCACUCCGCCUGGGGAGUACGGUCGCA
rnacentral:rRNA from 1 species